ACGGGAGGCAGCAGUGGGGAAUAUUGGACAAUGGGGGAAACCCUGAUCCAGCGACGCCGCGUGAGUGAAGAAGUAUUUCGGUAUGUAAAGCUCUAUCAGCAGGGAAGAUAAUGACGGUACCUGACUAAGAAGCCCCGGCUAACUACGUGCCAGCAGCCGCGGUAAUACGUAGGGGGCAAGCGUUAUCCGGAUUUAUUGGGUUUAAAGGGUGCGUAGGCGGACGCGUAAGUCAGUGGUGAAAUAUUCCGGCUCAACCGGGAGGCUGCCAUUGAUACUGCGCGACUAGAGUCCAAACGGCGCCGGCGGAAUAUGUCAUGUAGCGGUGAAAUGCUUAGAUAUGACAUAGAACACCGAUCGCGAAGGCAGCUGGCGAGGAUGCGACUGACGCUGAGGCACGAAGGCGUGGGGAUCGAACAGGAUUAGAUACCCUGGUA
rnacentral:rRNA from 1 species